CUGGAAGGAGCCGGGCAUCCGGCCUGAGGGGCAGCGCUAGUGUUAGUUCGGCCCAAUGGCGGCACCGCUGCUUCACACGCGGUUGCCGGGAGAUGCGACUGCUUCGGCCUCUGCAGUCAAGACGCUGGGCGCGUCGAGGACUGGGAUUUCAAAUAUGCGUGCAUUAGAGAAUGAUUUUUUCAAUUCUCCCCCAAGAAAAACUGUUCGGUUUGGUGGAACUGUGACAGAAGUCUUGCUGAAGUAUAAAAAGGGUGAAACAAAUGACUUUGAGUUGUUGAAGAACCAGCUGUUAGAUCCAGACAUAAAGGUAAUUAAUUUUGUGUUUGAUCAUUAGCAAAAUUAUUGCCACUUUAUAGGGACAUAGUUUGUUCUUUGGCUCCCAUGCUGUCUCCAUGGUCCUCCCUUACUUUAAUCUGGUGGUUCUCAACCAGGGACAGUUUUACCCCCAGGAGA
rnacentral:lncRNA from 1 species